rnacentral:lncRNA from 1 species
GGUAAAACUGAUGGACUGGUCAUUAUUAUUGUGCUUUCCUGGGGGAAGGACAAUAGGACACUCAAUCAUCAUGCAAUCAGACAUACCUCCCAGAGACUGCCAAACAGCUUCCAGACUAACCUCUGUGCAGUGCUUAGCCUUACAACUCUACGGAGCGAUGGCUUCAUUGUUCAUUCUUCAUGGCAACAAGCCAAAUCUGAGGUGACUGCCCUGCUUCUACUGUGGCAAAUGCUUGCACCACCACGGCGGCAGUGCAGACCUGGGCAUUCCGCAACUGACACAUACACCAUACACACAACACACAUGGCAAAACAAGGGCCACAGCGGGGGCACCUAUUCCAGCCCAUUCUUUCCGGAUGCUAAGUCAGGAUCCACUUGGGUAGAAUUCACAGUGACAAUCACCGAGCGAAGCUCAUUCAUCUUGCCAUCAAAAUUUGCAGUCCAAUUUUAACACCGACAGUAUCCCCCAUCUGGGUUCCGCACCCAUCAGGGGCAGACACAUGCUCAUCACCAGCAAGAUCAGCUUCUUCAUUUUGACAGCAUCGCACUAGCCGCUCCGGAACCCACACUGGCUCUGCGCUAUUCUGUGGAAACAUGCAAACAGAUCCUCUCACCCAGGCCAACACGGGAUCCGGACCAUUCCAUGGUCCUGUAAGCACAUCCUUCCAUUUAGCAUACCCCAGUUUACUGGGGCUGGUAUUAGCAUGUCGUUCAGCAGCAGAGCGACCUUCCUUAUCCAAUUGCAAAAAGUUUAAGGUAAAAAGAGCUAAGGAGAGUCUUAUUUUGGGGGUAUGGCCAUAGCCUAUUACCCCUUUUUGUUUUGUUAAUAAUUCUUUUAAGGUUCUAUGUGCUC